AUGGCUCAUCUUCCCUACACAAAAAAGCAUGUGACUAACUAUGCAGCAACAAUAAACAGGGAUAUCGCAAAUUCUGACAUGAUGGAAGUAGUGCAAAUGUUCAACAAGAAGCAAGCAAAAAAUCCUGGAUUUUGCUACUCGUUUGAGCUUGAUGGAGAUAAUAAAGUGAGAAGCUUAUUCUGGACAGAUGUGAGGUCAAGAAUGAUGUAUGACAUUUGUGGUGAUUGCAUCAGUUUUGACACUACAUUCCUAACAAACAGGUACAACCUACUAUUUGCACCCUUUGUGGGGAUAUCCCCGCAUGGCAACACAUACUUGUUUGCUUGUGCAUUCAUCAUCAAUGAGACAAAAGAAACAUUUGCGUGGUUGUUUGAACAAUUCCUGAUGGCUAUGGGAGGGAAGCAUCCUACAUCGAUCAUUACAGACCAGGACAAGGCAAUGCAAGCAGCAAUUGAAAAAGUCUUUCCUAAUGCGACACAUAGGAGCUGCCUCUUCCACAUAAAGAAGAAGGUAGAGGAGAAAGUCGGGCCCUGCUUCCAAGCUAAUGAGGGCCUCUACGAAGAUUUCCAGGACAUUGUGGACAACUCCUUGACCGUUGAAGAAUUUGAAACACAGUGGCAAGAAAUGAUAGAAAAAUAUCAAGUUCACCACAUCAAGUACUUCAACGACAUGUGGGAAAACAGGAAAAAGUUCAUACUAGUGUAUUUCAAGAAGAAUGCGACCAUGUUUGUAGAAACAAGAAAGUUGCACAGAAAGCAUUUUGGUCAAAAUACAACAUAG
rnacentral:rRNA from 1 species